GAUGAAGAACGUAGCGAAAUGCGGUACGUAAUGUGAAUUGCAGAAUUCAGUGAAUCAUCGAAUCUUUGAACGCAUAUUGCGCUCUCUGGUAUUCCGGAGAGCAUGCUUGUUUGAGUAUCAGUAAACACCUCAACUUCCAUAUCUUUUUUGAAAUGGGAGUUGGACUUGAGUGAUCCCAACGCUUUUCCUCACCGAAAAGUGGCGGGUUACUUGAAAUGCAGGUGCAGCUGGACUUUUCUCUGAGCUAUAAGCAUAUCUAUUUAGUCUGCCUAAAAAACAGAUUAUUACCUUUGCUGCAGCUAACAUAAAGGAGAUUAGUUCUUGUGCUGACUGAUGCAGGAUUCACAAAGACAGGCUUCGGCCGACUUUGUAAACUCGAUCUCAAAUCAAGUAAGACUACCCGCUGAACUUAAGCAUAUCAAUAAGCGGAGGA
rnacentral:misc_RNA from 1 species